UUGACCUCGGAUCAGGUAGGGAUACCCGCUGAAAUUAAGCAUAUCAAUAAGCGGAGGAAAAGAAACCAACCGGGAUUGCCCCAGUAACGGCGAGUGAAGCGGCAAGAGCUCAAAUUUGAAAUCUGGCCCCUCCGGGGUCCGAGUUGUAAUUUGCAGAGGAUGCUUCGGGUGCGGCCCCUGUCUAAGUGCCCUGGAACGGGCCGUCAGAGAGGGUGAGAA
rnacentral:rRNA from 1 species